GCAUUGGUGAUGCAGGGGGAGAAUUCUUGCCUUCCAUCCGGGAGACCUGGGUUCAAUUCCCAGCCAAUGCA
rnacentral:tRNA from 1 species